AUUGAACGCUGGCGGCAUGCCUUACACAUGCAAGUCGAACGGCAGCACGGGUGCUUGCACCUGGUGGCGAGUGGCGAACGGGUGAGUAAUACAUCGGAACAUGUCCUGUAGUGGGGGAUAGCCCGGCGAAAGCCGGAUUAAUACCGCAUACGAUCUACGGAUGAAAGCGGGGGACCUUCGGGCCUCGCGCUAUAGGGUUGGCCGAUGGCUGAUUAGCUAGUUGGUGGGGUAAAGGCCUAUCAAGGCGACGAUCAGUAGCUGGUCUGAGAGGACGACCAGCCACACUGGGACUGAGACACGGCCCAGACUCCUACGGGAGGCAGCAGUGGGGAAUUUUGGACAAUGGGCGAAAGCCUGAUCCAGCAAUGCCGAGUGUGUGAAGAAGGCCUUCGGGUUGUAAAGCACUUUUGUCCGGAAAGAAAUCCUUGGCCCUAAUACGGUCGGGGGAUGACGGUACCGGAAGAAUAAGCACCGGCUAACUACGUG
rnacentral:rRNA from 1 species